rnacentral:lncRNA from 1 species
CUCCUAUUGUUGAUCCUAUGCAAGUUGAUGCUCCACCGUCCGGAUCUCCCCUACUAGUGCUGAUGUAGGUAAGAAGAAGCAUCCAUCUGUAAAUCUGCACCUCUACCUGCCUGCUACUCUGUUAACGAGAUGUAAUGCAUCUCUCUAUAAUGUUGCACCUCUGUCUGCUCCUCAGUACGUCUGCACCUCUGUUAACUGAGAUGUAAUGCAUCAAUCCUAUGUAAUGCGCAUAUAACUUUGAUGAAGAUCUACUGUUAAUCUGAAAGUUG